GGCCCCUCAAUAAUCUCAGAAUCUGGAUCAACAGAAGAAACAGGAGCCUGCUCAUAAUCAGGGAGUGUGGCCUGAACAGGAGUAGAGAUCUCACUCAUGAAGGCAACAACUAUGAUAUAAUUUCCGCUAAAUUGGCCCACAGCUUGAAGAAGAUUUGUUCCAAAUUUAAGCAUAUGAGGUACAGGAGAUGGAAGCUGAGGUCCAGGGUCCAUUGACACAUUAGUCCUCCUUCCGACGGGAGUCCCAUUUAGAAGAAAGUUCACUUGAGGAGGCGUAACAAUACAUAGUGAGGUCUCCAGAUUAUCUAUUUGUGCAACAAAUAGUCUCACUUUCUCUCCUUCAGAAAGGUUCAUAUUCUUU
rnacentral:misc_RNA from 1 species